CCUGGGUGUGGGUAGCGCCAAUCAAUGGAUGGGUAGCCUGGAUGAAAUAUAAAGGCUGGCUUGGUUGCUUCUGCUACUUUGCUGCUUUGCUGCUUUCUCUUUGUCAUGCUAUGAACCAUUCCUCCUCUGUGAUGCUCCUCUGCCAUGCCACCCUGCCUUGGAGCCAGCCAACUAUGGACUGAAGCCCCUGUAAACUGAGUAUUCUCUAUUGCUCUGCUGGGUCCUGUCUGCGUUGAAAAGACCCAGCUGCUGAACUGGUAAGAGGUUGACUGCUGCCUCUGCAUGCGUGGAGCACAGGAACUGACAUGGCUGUGAGGGCUGGAUUUGCUGUACCUUGGAAUUGCUGUGAGACUUGGGCCAGUUUAUCAUCCCACCUCUACAAGGAGAGGAAUCCACCAAGGCCCUCCAUCCCACAUGCUGACUGACACUUGAAAGAUUUACUUGGCCAUGACAGGAGUUGAUGGUGGGGAGGAGAAAUUCUUUCUUAGAUUUUUUAAAUCUGAAAAAUGGAGAAACCCCCUUGCUACCCAGCAUCUGUGGCUGCAUUGAAAAGCUGAAAGUACAG